UUUUAGAGAGCGAGCAAGAGAGAAACAGCAUGAGAGGGGAGAGGGUCAGAGGGAGAAGCAGGCUCCCCACUGAGCCCGGAGCCCGAUGUGGGACUCGAUCCCAGGAUCCUGGGAUCAUGACCUGAGCCGAAGGCAGACGCUUAACCAUCUGAGCCACCCAGGCGCCCUACUAAACAGCAUUUAAAAGUUAGAUUAAAAUUCACAGACUCUUCUAUUCUGUCUCUGUCCUUGGCCCUUUGCACCAAACCAAACCAAACCAAACCAAACCAAUCAAGCUUCAUAAAAAAGACCAGGUUUGGAUUUUGAAUCUAGAAUGCUUCGAACCAAGGGGAAUUACUUAUUUUCUCACUUUCAGUGCGUCUGUUUAUGGGUACCAGAUUCCAAUGCCAUUAGUUCGAAAGUGUGUUCUCACACGUGUUUACUCACUUGAUUGCCAGAGCACAAGGUAUCAAAUGUCGAGGAGACUGCUUAGGGUUACAGGACCCAGGACACCAUCACAGCUUCUUGUCUUUUGUCUCAGGGCCUGAGAAAAACCUUCUCAAGACAGUGUCCUCUAGCUCUUAAAUUAUCAUAUUAGUGGUACCUAAGUAUUCAGAACAAGCAUCAAAAUGUGCUACGAAACUGUUCACUUCAAUACACUCUCAAGAAAUGAAUAGUAAAGUUUCUAGGCUGUUUAAUAGCCUCAUUACUUGGAAUAACACUCCAUUCCCCAUUAAGGGACAAAUUAGUAUGACUCUCCUCUGCUCAACUUUUUUCACCUUAAAAUGGAAAACAUUUAAUUUUAGGUAGAGUUCUUGUUUCACAGGUUUUUCCUCCAGCUUGGAUGCUGCUGUCAAGCUUACCUCUGCGUUGACCUGUAAAGACUGAAAAGCAGGUGGAUAAUAGACUUGCUGCAUAGACUCCGAAGCAUGUCUCAGCUCUGCCAGGAUUGCUGACUUAGCACUCCCUCCCUCCACCUCUUUGCCUUUUCACUUGCUGCAAGAAAAGAAGUCCAGAGUCUCCUACCUCAAACAGACUUUUUGAAAAGGAUGCGGAAACAAGAGCCUGUUGCCAGUGGGAGCAAGACCCGCCAGUCCUGUUAACCACCGUGGUGGCUGGCCGGGACUGCCCGAUGGUGACAGACAUGAUUGACAGAGCUGGGCCUAACUUGGUGUGAAGGCCAAGGGCUCCAGGCCGAUGAAACACCUCUGGAAAUGUGCCCAGUGGAAACACAGAGCGGCAUGGGUUUCAUGCCAAAGACAUUCGGGAAUGGGUCCAAAAACAUCUUCUGCAAGAGGAAAUGAAAGAGGAAAUAACUUGUUAUUCCAAAGGGGUGAGAGGGCUGGGGUGGGAGUUGAAAGAAGGGUUGAAAAGAAUGAAAGAGAAGUGAGCUGUGAAGGUGAGGAUAUGCCGAAGAGGGGAAGUGAGCCGUUGGAGCUGGAAGUUUUAAUACGCUCACAAAGAUAAGGAGGAAGUAGGGACUGUUUGGAAGGUAAACACACCAUUAUGGAAAGGGCAGCCUUGCCAAGAAUAACAAAGGCGAGAUAAUUAAAGGAAAAGGCUAACAGAAAUGUGAGGAAAAAGAGAAAACGCUGAACAGGUCUUCAACAUAAGAACAUUCCAACUCAGCAUUUCAUAACUGACAACAUCAACAGGAAAAGGAAAGAAAUGCAUUCUGCAGCGACGCACACAGAUAUCCUACCCUGUGCUAUCCGUGUUAUCUCUCCGUUUUUUGUUGACUCAGAGCCUGGCACAGGACCUGGCUCCCAGGAAGUGUUCAUGAAGGUCUGGUGGAUGAAUCGUGGAAGCCGUGACUAGAAGAUGGAGGGAUGAACCAAUGAAGCUACAGCAGGACGGUUUUCAAAAUGGUUCUCUGUUGGGAAGCUCUCAAGUCAUUGUAUGGUGAAGUGAUUGAAGAAACAACUGUGUAGCCACAGCAGGUGUCAGUUCCUGGGGGCCCCUGUCACCCUGCCCGGCAGCUCCCGUUCGGCAGCAGAGGCAUUAAGAGCAGACUCCACAGAAGCCAGUACGGCCAAGCAUUUUCAAAGGCAAGGGCAGCCGCGUUUGCCCGUUUUUUCCUCUCUUUGUUCUGGUCUUUGUUUCUUCCUUCCCCCUUCUUCAUCUUUUCCUGGAGGGCUUUCUCAAGCUUGCAUUUUCUGAACCAUCUGAAACAGCUGUCUUCCGUGCUGGCUCUGUUCUAAGUGCUCUACCUCUCUUGGCCUGUAAGAGAAGACCUCUGAUACUCCCACUCUCUAGGACAGGGCAUCGAGGCACAGAGAUGGUAAGAAACCAGUCCGAGACUGCACACUUGGCCAUGGCUGCGUGAGCCAACGUCGCUUGCCUAUGGCCGCACAGGCAGCAGAACUGGGAUUCAAGCCUGGGUCUUUGGUUGCAGACCUCCAGCUCUUCUGAUCCACCAUGCUUCCUGCGAAAUAUGGUCCUUACAAUUAGGGGGGCCACCAAAUGGGGGCACGCGGCUCCUGUCUGUGACUUGUGUCUCUUGUAGAAACCCCCCCGCCCCCAGGUGGGAAACACUGACUUAAUCUCAGCGGAGCAUAUCAGCAGCUGUGGUGCAUAUGCUGUGACAGAAGGCACCAGAGAAGCACUACCUAUAUUUCAUACCCUCGUUCGAGUCUCCACUCUCCCAUUCACCUGCCAGCACAAGCAGAGUGGUUUUCUUUUGCACGAGGAUAAUCUGAAAUUCUACUUUUGCGUCAGAAAACUAAGAGGUUCAUAUAUCCUGCCUGGAAGGGAAUGUUUUUCAGCCUCAGAGCCUAUAAAAAUAUUGUGGCACGAACGGUUCAGCUGAAACAACAGAAUGCUGGGAAAAUGAGUCUGCAAAAUGUACUUGAAAUAUUAGUCAUCAACGUGGUAUAAAACACCAUUUCUCCCACAGAAGGAGGCCUUGCCUGGGAGCUAAGUGCACUUUUGCCUGCAGGAUCAGGUGGGGAUUGUAGGUUUAUGCUUUGUAAACUCUUAAUCUACUCAAACCCAUCUACUAAUAUGAAGAUUAAAGACUAGGGAAUACAUCUCAUUCCUCUGAGCUUCCUGAUAUUUCUUCAAAGGUGAUAGAAAACAGAAGUAUCCUUGUACUAGAAAGACAUGGGAAUAUAUAUAUAUAAUAAAAAUUGUAUAUAAGUAUUAUAUAAAAUUUAUACAUACAUAUUUUAUAUUAUAUAGAAAUAUAUAAUAAAAUUUGUAUUUAUAGCAUAAAUUAUAUUGGCCAAAGGCAGAUUCUUCACCAACUGAGCCACCCAGGCGCCCCUAUAUUAUAUGUUUAUGUAUAAUAUAAUUUAUAUUAUAUAAAUAUAAUAUAAAUAUAUUAUAUUUAUAUUAUAAAUAUAAAUUACUAUAAUGAUCCCAGGGUCCUAGGGUCAAAUCUCAUGUCGGGCACCCUGCUCAGCAGGGAGCCUGCUUCUCCCUCUGCCCGCCGCUCCCCCUGCUUGUGCUCUCUCUCUCUCUGUCAAAUAAAUAAAAUCUUAAAAAAGUAAACAUAAUAUCAUGCAUAAAUUAUAUUGUAUAUAUAAUUAUAUAUUUUUAUAAAUUUUUAUACAUUUUAUAAAUAUAAGUACAUAUAAUGUACUCUAUAUAUACAUAUAAGUGCCGGUGGUACAAAGGUUUGUUUUUAAAUUAACCUAAACAAUAGGUUCUGCAAUGAAUUUUUGUUUCAACAAAGACUUAAGACUAAAAAUGUCAGUAAAAGGAUAAAUACAAAAAGGUAUUGAAACGUGCUGAGGACGUUAGUUUGGGCGUCUUGUGGAGAUGUGGACUGGGGGGUGGGAUGUGGCUUUCAUUAAAAAUGAUGAUUAAAAAAAUAUUUUUUCCUUAAAAUCCCCUCGAGGGCUUCUGCAGAAUUUCAGCCCAAGUUGCCAAAGAUUUUUGUUAUCAGGGAGGCUUCUCAUCCUAAUCUGCUUAGGCAGUAGCUCUACAUUCCAUGCCUGCAUUUUGGGCAGGCGAGUUCAGGUUUUCUCCAGCAUUGGGCUACCCGUGAACUCUCCUCCCAUGCCUUCCAUGGGAGUGACUGUGUGCCUGCCUGGCGGGAUGACCGAUGGGCAGGGCCCUAAGCAGCUGGGGCGCCUCUCCCCCAGCCCGCUCCCAGCCGGCCCUGCACCCCCAGCAGUCGCUCUGGCAGGGGGCU